UUUGAACGGAGAGUUCGAUCCUGGUCAGGAUGAACGCUGGCGGCGCGCCUAACACAUGCAAGUCGAACGGUUAAGGCACCUUCGGGUGCGAAUAAAGUGGCGAACGGCUGAGUAACACGUGGGCAACCGCCCCUCGCACCGGGAUAGCCUCGGGAAACCGUGGGUUAAUACCGGAUACUCCGCACCCCCGCAUGGGGGGGCGGGAAAGCCCAGACGGCGAGGGAUGGGCCCGCGGCCUGUUAGCUCGUUGGCGGGGUAACGGCCCACCAAGGGAUUAUGGGUAGCCGGGUUGAGAGACCGACCGGCCAGAUUGGGACUGAGACACGGCCCAGACUCCUACGGGAGGCAGCAGUGGGGAAUCUUGCACAAUGGGCGAAAGCCUGAUGCAGCGACGCCGCGUGCGGGACGAAGGCCUUCGGGUUGUAAACCGCUUUCAGCAGGGACGAGGCCGCAAGGUGACGGUACCUGCAGAAGAAGCCCCGGCUAACUACGUGCCAGCAGCGCGGGUAAUAAGUGGGGCGAGCGUUAUCCGGAUUCAUUGGGCGUAAAGCGCGCGUAGGCGGCCUGCUAGGUCGGAACUCAAAUCCGGGGGCUCAACCCCGCCCGGUUCGAUACCGGCAGGCUUGAGUCUGGUAGGGGAAGGCGGAAUUCCAGUGUAGCGGUGGAAUGCGCAGAUAUUUGGAAGAACACCGGUGGCGAAGGCGGCCUUCUGGGCCACGACUGACGCUGAGGCGCGAAAGCUAGGGAGCGAACAGGAUUGAUACCCUGGUAGUCCUAGCCGUAAACGAUGGACAUAGGUGUGGGGGGAUGUGCCCCCCGUGCCGCAGCCAACGCAUUAAGUGUCCCGCCUGGG
rnacentral:rRNA from 1 species